CGCACACACACACACACACACACACAGAUGUAAAGCGUCACUGAGACACAGAGCAGAGUCGAAGGAGCUUCUAGACAAAUACAGUGACAUUUAAAGGAGAUCUACAGUAGAAUUAGAGACACACACAAUCAAAUGAACACACACUGGCGGAUAUUAAUAUGUUCUGAUUGUGUGUGUAUGUGGCGGGGAGGGGGGGUGUGUGUUGUCAGUGUCAGGAUUUCCACCCUGCUCCUGCUGCUGGGAAGAGUUCAUAAUGUUCUCUGAGUUUAACGACUGUUCUACACUGCAGCAACAAGAACAACGUGGGAGAGGAUCUGACCGACAGCACCGAGCUGGACACCCCGAGGUUGCCAUCAACUCUCUAAAAAACAAGCGAAGUGGCCAGCAGACUCCAGCGGCCAACAUCAAGAAGCCCAGGAAGGGAGAUGUCAAUUUCUGUCCAAACAUCCCUAGUGGUGAAACAAGAGACAGGUUGGAGGUGGAAAGGGUGGCUCUACUGACUGAGGUAUAA